CUCCCGACUCCUCUCGCUCGUUCCUCUCCCGACUCCUCUCGCUCAUGCUGUCGCCUCCCAAACCCUAGGUGGCCGCCGCUUCAGUCCGGCCAUUGGGAGGAGCAAAGCUUCGCCAAAUCGGGCUGCCGGAGACCGCAGGACCUCCCCCCACCUCAUCCUCUCCAAGCUGCCACUGCAAUCCGUAGGCACCCACGGUCGUCCACUUCUGCAACGGCCGGAGGUCGCCCAGGCAUCGGUCUCCAUCAAAUCCGGUCGUUCUCCACCGAAUCUGGCCGUUCUCCUUCGAAUCCGGCCAGCAUGCCGCCCGUACAAGAGCUAAAUAGUAGUUCCAGCCACCAUCUUAGAUCUGGACGGAGUUGGAGUAGGAGUAGGAAGCAAGGACCCCCGUCCAUUUGCUCAUGUCACCCAUGUUCUGUUCAUUACAUAGAUAGAUAAAUUAAAAGAGAUGGGAACAAGUCUCGUGUCUCGGCGACGAACAUUGGCAAAGGAUAAAUAUUUGUUUUGUUCCUUCUGCUUAGAAUAUUCUAUCUAUAAUGGAAUACUUCAAACAAAUUUUGGCACCAACUGUGACAUUACGUUGAAGUCCGAUGAACAACUCAUAAGGUUCAAUAUAAUCUUUGCUGAUAGCUCUGAAGAUAAAAGGUUGUUACUGUUAUGAUGUAUCUUCUCAAAUUCUUAAGUUGGCAUGCAAAGCUAUCAGUCUGAAAACUUUGACAUGCUUGGUAUAUUGCAUAAUAUUUGAUGACAGCUCUGAAUAUUAAAUGUUGUGCCGCAUUUCAGAUUUGCCCUUUUUUCUGUUAACACAAUAUGCUUAGUAUGAUAACCGAAUGCAUUAUUCUGACCUGCUGGUGAUGUAUUAUUCAAACCUAGUAGUGAUUUUUGUAUGGCUUUGUUAGAUUUAUUGGAAUGAUGAGAACACCAGGAUCAUUUGUGAGUUGUUCACUGAACAAGCACACAGUGGUAAUCGCCCAAACACCCACUUAAAUAGCGUAGGCUAUGCUGAGGUAGGAAAAAGGUUUACAGAGCAGACUGGCAUACCAAUUGAAAGAGAUCAGAUAAAAAAUAAGUGGGACAAGUUGAGAGGCCAAUAUAGUGUUUGGAAAAAGUUAUUGUUGAGACAGACUGGCAAGGGUUGGGAUGCACAGAAGGGUACUAUCAAAAUGGAUGCCGAAUAGUGGAAAAAGACAGAGAUUCCUGGUUCUUGGCUGUUCAGGAAGAGAGAGCUGCAGAAUGAAGAACUUUUUACACAGAUGUUUAGACCAUUGGUGUCCAACCGCCACGCAGCCCACUGAAGAUACUGCCACAAACAAUACUGAUGGACAGGGACAAGAGGAUGACAAAGGGGAUGAUGACAAGGUUGAGGAGAUUUCUCCUGCCAAUGCAAAUGGCAAGAGAGCACCCCUAGCUGUUCCUGACAAAGGCAAGAAACAGAAGACAGGUUCGGCAGCAGUCAUUCAAGAAGCAAUAAGAAGCAUAACUGAUUGGGCCACUUCUAUCGCUGCAAAAAAAAGUUGGAACAACUACAGUCAAAGAAGUGAUAGACCUUGUGGUUGCUUGUGGUGCAGACUACGGUUCAAAUGAGCACUACAUAGCCACCUCUCUGUUUGUGAAAAGUGAGCAAAGGGAGAUGUUUAUUACCUUGCCCACUCUCGAGAUAAGGUUUCAAUGGCUUUAGAGGAAGUAUCAAGACAAGAAUGGCAGCUAGUGUGGUGCAGCUAUUAUUGUUUGUUGUCACAUUUGUCAAACUAUUAUUGUUUGUUGUCACAUUUGUCAAACUAUUAUUGUUGGAUCA